rnacentral:rRNA from 1 species
UACGAAGGGUGCAAGCGUUAAUCGGAAUUACUGGGCGUAAAGCGUGCGUAGGCGGUUUCUUAAGUCUGCUGUGAAAGCCCCGGGCUCAACCUGGGAAUGGCGGUGGAUACUGAGAAGCUGGAGUAAGGUAGAGGAAGGUGGAAUUCCCGGUGUAGCGGUGAAAUGCGUAGAGAUCGGGAGGAACAUCAGUGGCGAAGGCGGCCUUCUGGACCAGUACUGACGCUGAGGCACGAAAGCGUGGGGAGCAAACAGG